GGGGGCACCCCUGAGGCUACUGGUCCCAGUGGGGCAUAGCCAGGCCUGCUCUGGGGUUAAAGCAGAGCUGUCCUUAGCCACAAGACCCAGUAACCACAGAGCAAACAAAAAUUGCUGCUUUGGAGACACCAGCAAGCACUUUCUGAUGUUAUGGGCUUUAGCUGCUGCAGGAACUUUAUUUGGAACCAGCAGUCAAAACCAGGAGAAGAUGGGUGAGGAGCAGCAUAUCAAGAUACCCCAUGUUUGGUGCCUAAAAUCCAUGAAUGAAGCUUUUGGGUGGAGAGAGCUUUUUGUGAAGAGGUUGUCUUCAAAAAGUUAGUGAAGGAGGGAUAGAACCAUGCUAAAUACCAGAAGCAGUCAGCACUGCAUGAAUCCUUCUCUGAAAAAUAACAAAGCCUAAAAACAUCCAAACUCAUCUGGAGAGGGCAAGCCUGGGAGGUACAGAUCUCCUGUGAAGUGACCCAUUGCUGUCUGACCCAGUGCUUGCAUCGGGGUCUGGAGCCUGAGGGCAGACUUUGCUGCUUCUUUGCUGAAGCCAGUCAUCUUGCAUUUCCCCUGGCCAGAUGGAGCUUUUUGUCGCUUCUCCAGCAUUGGAAGUUUUCAGGAAGUCUUUGCUGCCUCGUCUCAGCUUGCUGGGAGCUGCCUGAUAGUGCUGGCAGAGCAGUGACCCCAGUGGGCAGAGCUGCUCCCCCAGUUUGCUGCAUGUGUUGGAAGAGGGUUGAAGGCAGCACACCUGCACCUUCCUUGCUCCAUGCAAAGCGCUGGAGGGCUGAUUUUGCAGCUCAGCUUCCUUGCAUGCUCCAAGCCUCAGUUUACCCGUUUAUAACCUUGCCUUGGGCCAAGUUUUGAGACAACGCAAUAACAUCAUGCUUGGCCUAACAACUCUCUGUAUGUCAGGAACAUCGCCUCAGAUGGAUGUUGCCUUAUGCUUGUGUCCUGCACGUUGUUGCAGGAGCGAGCCUUUUCUCCACCACGGCUUCAGUGAGGUCGGUUACAGCUGGGGCAUCAGAGCCAUCUCCUCACCUUCCUUGCUGUCCUGACCAUGUACAAGAAGAAAGGCUCUAGCACAGGUCCCAGUUUCAGACUUUCUCCUUAGCUCCUCCAUCUCUCCUUCCCUAGUUUGCAGGGGCACUGACUGAAUUACUGCCCUCUCUAAUCCAUUACAGAUUUUUAUUUGCCAACUGUCUUCUUUUGUCCCUGAUUUUCUGGAAGAAAAAAAAAAAUCUCCCUCUC